rnacentral:sRNA from 1 species
GAGGCCCCAAUCGAGUCUGGGGUCUGUUCAGGGAUUGAAUGCCAUGCUGACCACCCAACACUAGUUCUGAUGCUCUUUGCCAGUGUGCUGGUGACUUGCCUUGAGGCUGCUAAACUCACUGUAGGCUUCCAGACCCCCUGGAACAUCUCCCAUCCAUUCAGCAUGCAAAGGCUGGGUGCAGACCUCCAGAUUGCCAUGGACAAGGUCAACUCAGAGCUAGUGGACCUUGGAAAUUUCAGCUGGGAGUUCACUUACACCAACUCAGCCUGCAGCACCAAGGAGUCUCUUACUAUUUUCAACAACCAGGUCCAGACAGAACAGAUUUCUGCCCUGUUUGGACCAGCAUGCCCAGAAGCAGCUGAGGUUAUCGGUUUGCUGGCCUCUGAGUGGAACAUCCCCAUGUUUGACUUUGUUGGACAAACCACAAAACUGUGUGACACCUGUGUGAAACUUGUGCCACCCAAGCAGGACAUUGGUGAUGCGCUCCAGAAAAGUCUCCAGUACCUGGGCUGGAAACACACUGGGAUGUUUGGAGGCUACUCUGGGGCUUCCUCCUGGGAUGGAGUGGAUGAAUUGUGGAAGGUUGUAGAGAAUGAACUCAAAUCCCAUUUUAUCAUCACUGCUAGCAUGAGAUACACCAACAAUAGUCUAGUCCUUCUUCAAGAGCAUCUUUGGAGGAUAUCAUCAAUUGCCAGGGUUAUCAUCUCAACCUGCAUCUCAGAGGAUGCACAAAUUAUUCUUCUGGCUGCAGAAAACCUGGGACUCAACACUGGAGAAUUUGUUUUCAUCAUUUUGCAGCAGUUGGAGGACCGUUUUUGGAAGGAAGUACUGACAAAUCAGAAAAUGAUGCACCUCCCAAAGGUGUAUGGGUCAGUGCUUCUCAUUGCCCUCAGCUCCUACAGGAAAGGCUGUGGAGACGAAGGCUUUUGGAAACAAGUCUACCAAACACCGAGGAGGCCGCCCUUCCACAGCACCAUCUCCUGGGAGGAGCAGGUGAGCCCUUACUCUGCCUACCUUAACGACACCGUGCUGCUCUAUGCUGAGAUCGUGAAGCAGGUGGUAAAGGCUGGAGGCGACUUCCAGGACAGGUGGCAGCUGGUCAGCACUCUGAAGGGUUCCAGUCGGACCACAGUGCAGGGAAUCACCGGCGCUGUGUUUGUGGAUGCCCAGGGAGAAAGGCACAUGGAUUACUCUGUCUAUGCCCUACAGAAGUCUGAAAAUGGGCCCCUUUUUCUUCCUUUUCUUCAUUAUGACAGUUAUCAGAAAUUUUUUAAAGACCCACAAGGAAUUUCUCCAAUAUGACCUGGCCCCAUGGCUCCCUUCCUGAAGACAGACCUGGCUGUGGAUUUUAUAAUGAGUUCUGUGAAACUGAGCCUGCUUUUACGGGCGUGACUGCUAUGCUUCUCACAAUGAUGAUCCUCAUUCCUGUCUUGGGAGCUGCCAUCAUAGGUCUGAUUUUAAGGAUGCAGAGGCAAAACAAAGACAUCUGGUGGCAAAUCAACUUUGAUGAUAUCACCAUUCUUUCCCAGAACAAGCCAUCCCAGAGAGGCACACCUGUGUCAAAAGGCAUCAACAGUAACUCAUCUAGCGUGAUGAUUUCUGCGGACCUCAGCUCUUUUGUCAAGAGCCAGCAGGGGGAAGAGCUCUUCUAUGCCCCAGUAGGGCUUUAUCAGGGAAACCAUGUGGCCAUCUGCUACGUUGGUGACCAAGCAGAAGCCUGGGUUAGGAAGCCGACUGUGCUACAGGAAAUACAGCUGAUGGGUGAAUUAAGGCACAAGAACAUUGUUCCCUUCUUUGGUAUUUGCACCGAACCACCUAACAUCUGCAUUGUCACCCAGUAUUGCAAAAAAAGGAAGUCUUAAGAUGUUUUGAGAAACUCGGAUCAUGAAAUGGAUUGGAUAUUCAAACUCUCAUUUGCAUAUGACAUAGUCAAUGGCAUGCUGUUCCUCCACAGGAGCCCCCUGGGCUCCCACGGCAACCUGAAACCUUCCAACUGCCUGGUGGAUGGUCGGCUGCAGGUGAAGCUGUCGCGAUUCAGGCUGUGGGAACUCAAGCAUGGCUGAAAAUACAGAACAUAUGAUGAGACAGUGACGGACCACUAGCUCUACUGGACUGCCCCAGAGCUGCUGUGGCUCCCGGAGGUGCCCUGGUCGGGUACCCCGCAAGGAGAUGUUUACAGCUUCGCCAUUCUGAUGAGGGAGUUGAUCUACCAUUGGGACCACGGGCCCUUUGAUGACCUCCAUGAGGCACCGGAUGAAAUCAUCAACCGAAUGAAAGACCCUGCAGCAGCUGUCCCACUGCAACCUUCCCUGCCCGAGAAGAAGGGCGAUGAAGGGCGAUGAAAAGUUCGUGGCCAUGGUGAGGGCAUGUUGGGAUGAAUCUCUGGAGAAAAGACCCAGUUUCUCUUCCAUCAAGAAAACUUUACGAGAGGCCAGUCCCAGAGGCCGUGUGAGCAUACUGGCCAGUAUGAUGAGCAAGCUGGAAGUCUAUGCCAAUCACCUGGAGGAAGUGGUGCAAGAGAGGACCAGCCAGCUGACUGCAGAGAAGAGGAAGGUGGAGAAGCUUCUGUCCACCAUAGUGCCCAGCUUCAUUGGAGAACAACUCCUAGCCGGAAGGUCCGUGGAACCAGAACAUUUCGAGUCUGUGACAAUCUUUUUAUCUGACAUUGUUGGAUUCACAAAGCUGUGUUCUCUCAGCUCCCCUUUGCAAGUCGUCAAGCUCCUCAAUGACCUGUACAGUUUAUCUGAUCACAUCAUCACAACUUAUGAUGUUUAUAAGGUUGAGACCAUUGGAGACGCAUACAUGGUGACUAGUGGACUCCCUAUCCGCAAUGGAAGCCAGCAUGUGGCUGAGAUUGCCACCAUAUCCCUGCACUUCCUCAGUGCCACCAUCUGCUUCCAAAUUGGGCACAUGCACCAGGAGAAGCUCCAGCUUUGGAUUGGCCUCCACACAGGUCCUGUGGUGGCUGGUGUGCUGGGGAUCACCAUGUCCAGAUACUGUCUGUUUGGAGACACUGUGAACAUGGCAUCCAGAAUGGAGAGCAGCAGUUCACCUCUCCGGAUUCAUGUCUGUCAGAGAGCACUGCAAGUGCCCUGGUGGCAUUGGGAGGGUACGAUUUGCAAAAGAGAGGCACCAUUCCAGUCAAGGGCAAAGGAGAGCAAACAACUUUCUGGUUGAACGAUAAAGAAGGCUUUACUCUUCCACUCCCCGAAUUUACUGAGGAAAAAGCCAAAGUGCCAGAGAUAUUG